UCCCUGGUGGUGUAAAUGGUUAACGUGCUCAGCUGCUAACCGAAAGGUUGGUGGUUCGAGUCCACCCAGAGGCA
rnacentral:tRNA from 1 species